rnacentral:rRNA from 1 species
UACGGGGGGGGUAAGCGUUGUUCGGAAUUACUGGGCGUAAAGGGCUCGUAGGCGGCCAACUAAGUCAGACGUGAAAUCCCUCAGCUUAACUGGGGAACUGCGUCUGAUACUGGAUGGCUUGGAUUCGGGAGAGGAAUGCGGAAUUCCAGGUGUAGCGGUGAAAUGCGUAAAUAUCUGGAGGAACACCGGUGGCGAAGGCGGCAUUCUGGACCGAUAUUGACGCUGAGGAGCGAAAGCCAGGGGAGCAAACGGG